GUUUUGAAGAGAGUUAAACAAGUGGAAGUCUGGCGGCACAAGUUUCAAAUGCUACUGGUGAUUAGAAUUGUUCUCCCAAGGCAAUUCGAAAUGGAACUAGACACAGAGUCCUGAAAAGGGAGAAAUGAAAAGGAAAGGAUGGCAUUUUGACAGAGGCCUGCCCUGCAGUGGGGUGUGAGUAUGGAUUGGGCACUGCAAUGCCCGCAUCGAGGCCUUAAGGUAGAG